rnacentral:misc_RNA from 1 species
CAACUUCCACCUGGCUUACCUCCNUCAGUUAUGCGUCAUGACUUGUAUCGUCUUGAGCGUAUUGUGGGUUUCCUGUGUUGCAUACCUUUCUAAUGGUAUCGUGCUGAUUGAUCGAAGUCCCUUUUCAUCUUGUGUUGCUUUUUGCGACGCAUGAUGAACCUCGAGGCGGUCUCUAUGUUCCACCACGUUGAUGCUAGCGUUUUGAUGUUGUGGCCCAUUGAGUGUUGCUUGGUUUCGUGGAUACAGAACAUGAUUUGGGCAUAGGGUUACUUGUGACUCUUGUUCUGUCC